rnacentral:rRNA from 1 species
UACGGAGGGGGCUAGCGUUGUUCGGAAUUAUUGGGCGUAAAGCGCGCGUAGGCGGAUCUGCAAGUCGGGGGUGAAAUCCCGAGGCUCAACCUCGGAACUGCCUUCGAUACUGCGGGUCUCGAGUCCGGGAGAGGUGAGUGGAAUUCCUAGUGUAGAGGUGAAAUUCGUAGAUAUUAGGAAGAACACCAGUGGCGAAGGCGGCUCACUGGCCCGGUACUGACGCUGAGGCGCGAAAGCGUGGGGAGCAAACAGG